GACGAACGCUGGCGGCGUGCUUAACACAUGCAAGUCGAACGGAAAGGCCCUGCUUUUGUGGGGUGCUCGAGUGGCGAACGGGUGAGUAACACGUGAGUAACCUGCCCUUGACUUUGGGAUAACUUCAGGAAACUGGGGCUAAUACCGGAUAGGAGCUCCUGCUGCAUGGUGGGGGUUGGAAAGUUUCGGCGGUUGGGGAUGGACUCGCGGCUUAUCAGCUUGUUGGUGGGGUAGUGGCUUACCAAGGCUUUGACGGGUAGCCGGCCUGAGAGGGUGACCGGCCACAUUGGGACUGAGAUACGGCCCAGACUCCUACGGGAGGCAGCAGUGGGGAAUAUUGCACAAUGGGCGGAAGCCUGAUGCAACAACGCCGCGUGCGGGAUGACGGCCUUCGGGUUGUAAACCGCUUUCGCCUGUGACGAAGCGUGAGUGACGGUAAUGGGUAAAGAAGCACUGGCUAACUACGUG
rnacentral:rRNA from 1 species